rnacentral:rRNA from 1 species
GGGCAGUUUGACUGGGGCGGUCGCCUCCCAAAAGGUAACGGAGGCGCUCAAAGGUUCUCUCAGUACGGUCGGAAAUCGUACGUAGAGUGUAAAGGCAAAAGAGAGCUUGAUUGCAAGACAUACAGGUCGAGCAAGGAUGAAAAUCGGACUUAGUGAUCCGGUGGUUCUGCGUGGAAGGGCCAUCGCUCAACGGAUAAAAGCUACCCUGGGGAUAACAGGCUUAUCUCCCCCAAGAGUCCACAUCGACGGGGAGGUUUGGCACCUCGAUGUCGGCUCAUCACAUCCUGGGGCUGUAGUAGGUCCCAAGGGUUGGGCUGUUCGCCCAUUAAAGUGGUACGCGAGCUGGGUUCAGAACGUCGUGAGACAGUUCGGUCCCUAUCCGUCGCAGGCGUAGGAAAUUUGAGAAGACCUGUCCUUAGUACGAGAGGACCGGGAUGGACGUACCUCUGGUGUACCAGUUGUCCUGCCAAGGGCAUGGCUGGGUAGCUAUGUACGGAAUGGAUAAGCGCUGAAAGCAUCUAAGCGCGAAGCCAACUUCAAGAUAAGAUUUCCCACCGCAAGGGUAAGACCCCAGAAAGACUAUCUGGUUGAUAGGUCGAAGGUGUAAGUGCAGCAAUGUAUUUAGCUUAUCGAUACUAAUAGGUCGAGGACUUGACCAA